AGUGAACGCUGGCGGUAGGCCUAACACAUGCAAGUCGAACGGCAGCACAGUAAGAGCUUGCUCUUACGGGUGGCGAGUGGCGGACGGGUGAGGAAUACAUCGGAAUCUACUUUUUCGUGGGGGAUAACGUAGGGAAACUUACGCUAAUACCGCAUACGACCUACGGGUGAAAGCAGGGGAUCUUCGGACCUUGCGCGAUUGAAUGAGCCGAUGUCGGAUUAGCUAGUUGGCGGGGUAAAGGCCCACCAAGGCGACGAUCCGUAGCUGGUCUGAGAGGAUGAUCAGCCACACUGAAACUGAGACACGGUCCAGACUCCUAGGGGGGGCAGCAGUGGGGAAUAUUGGAAAAUGGGCGCAAGCCUGACCCAGCCAUACCGCGUGGGUGAAGAAGGCCUUCGGGUUGUAAAGCCCUUUUGUUGGGAAAGAAAAGCAGCAGGUUAAUCCCCCGCUGUUUUGACGGUACCCAAAGAAUAAGCACCGGCUAACUUCGU
rnacentral:rRNA from 1 species